UGGGGAAUAUUGCACAAUGGGGGAAACCCUGAUGCAGCGACGCCGCGUGAACGAAGAAGGUAUUCGUAUCGUAAAGUUCUGUCCUAUGGGAAGAUAAUGACAGUACCAUAGAAGAAAGCUCCGGCUAAAUACGUGCCAGCAGCCGCGGUAAUACGUAUGGAGCGAGCGUUGUCCGGAAUUAUUGGGCGUAAAGGGUACGCAGGCGGUUUAAUAAGUCGAAUGUUAAAGAUCGGGGCUCAACCCCGUAAAGCAUUGGAAACUGAUAAACUUGAGUAGUGGAGAGGAAAGUGGAAUUCCUAGUGUAGUGGUGAAAUACGUAGAUAUUAGGAGGAAUACCAGUAGCGAAGGCGACUUUCUGGACACAAACUGACGCUGAGGUACGAAAGCGUGGGGAACAAACAGG
rnacentral:rRNA from 1 species